AUUGAACGCUAGCGGCAUGCCUUACACAUGCAAGUCGAACGGAGUGGCGAACGGGUGAGUAAUGUACCGGUACGUGACCAGUAGCGGGGGAUAAGUACACGUAAGAGAAGCGAAUACCACACACUAUUGGAGCGGCCUAUAGCGGAUUAGCUAGUUGGUGGUGUAAAGGCUUACAAAGGCGACGACCCGUAGCUGGGUUGAGAGGACGACCAGCCACACUGGGACUGAGACACGGCCCAGACUCCUACGGGAGGCAGCAGGGGGGAAUUUUGGACAAUGGGGGAAACCCUGAUCCAGCCAUCCCGCGUGAGUGAUGAAGGCCUUCGGGUUGUAAAGCACUGUUAGCAGGGAAGCGGUACCUGCAGAAUAAGCACCGGCUAACUACGUGCCAGCAGCCGCGGUAAUAC
rnacentral:rRNA from 1 species